AUUUAACUAACAAGUCUCAAAUAGGAUGAAACGCGCGUCCUGGAU
rnacentral:hammerhead_ribozyme from 1 species